UGUGACCUACGGGGGGCAGCAGUGGGGAAUAUUGCACAAUGGGGGAAACCCUGAUGCAGCGACGCCGCGUGAGUGAAGAAGUAUCUCGGUACGUAAAGCUCUAUCAGCAGGGAAGAAAAUGACGGUACCUGACUAAGAAGCCCCGGCUAACUACGUGCCAGCAGCCGCGGUAAUACGUAGGGGGCAAGCGUUGUCCGGAAUUACUGGGUGUAAAGGGAGCGCAGGCGGGAAGCCAAGUCAGCUGUGAAAACUACGGGCUUAACUUGUAGACUGCAGUUGAAACUGGUUUUCUUGAGUGAAGUAGG
rnacentral:rRNA from 1 species